UAAAUACUCCUGACUGACCGAUAGUGAACCAGUACCGUGAGGGAAAGGCGAAAAGAACCCCGGCGAGGGGAGUGAAAAAGAACCUGAAACCGUGUACGUACAAGCAGUGGGAGCACCCUUCGGGGUGUGACUGCGUACCUUUUGUAUAAUGGGUCAGCGACUUAUAUUCUGUAGCAAGGUUAACCGAAUAGGGGAGCCGCAGGGAAACCGAGUCUUAACUGGGCGAAUUAGUUGCAGGGUAUAGACCCGAAACCCGGUGAUCUAGCCAUGGGCAGGUUGAAGGUUGGGUAACACUAACUGGAGGACCGAACCGACUAAUGUUGAAAAAUUAGCGGAUGACUUGUGGCUGGGGGUGAAAGGCCAAUCAAACCGGGAGAUAGCUGGUUCUCCCCGAAAGCUAUUUAGGUAGCGCCUCGUGAAUUCAUCUCCGGGGGUAGAGCACUGUUUCGGCUAGGGGGUCAUCCCGACUUACCAACCCGAUGCAAACUGCGAAUACCGGAGAAUGUUAUCACGGGAGACACACGGCGGGUGCUAACGUUCGUCGUGAAGAGGGAAACAACCCAGACCGCCGGCUAAGGUCCCAAAGUCAUAAUUAAGUGGGAAACGAAGUGGGAAGGCUCAGACAGCCAGGAUGUUGGCUUAGAAGCAGCCAUCAUUUAAAGAAAGCGUAAUAGCUCACUGGUCGAGUCGGCCUGCGCGGAAGAUGUAACGGGGCUAAAUUAUGCACCGAAGCCGCGGCAGCGAUAUGUAAAUAUUGUUGGGUAGGGGAGCGUUCUGUAAGCCUGUGAAGGUGGCCUGUGAGGGUUGCUGGAGGUAUCAGAAGUGCGAAUGCUGACAUAAGUAACGAUAAUGCGGGUGAAAAACCCGCACGCCGGAAGACCAAGGGUUCCUGUCCAACGUUAAUCGGGGCAGGGUGAGUCGACCCCUAAGGCGAGGCUGAAAAGCGUAGUCGAUGGGCAACGGGUUAAUAUUCCCGUACUGGUGGUAACUGCGAAGGGGGGACGGAGAAAGCUAAAUCAUCCGGGCGACGGUUGUCCCGGUUUAAGCGUGCAGGUGGACUGACCAGGCAAAUCCGGUCGGUUGUUAACACUGAGGCGUGACGACGAGCCAC
rnacentral:rRNA from 1 species